AUUGAACGCUGGCGGCAGGCCUAACACAUGCAAGUCGAACGAGCGGCGGACGGGUGAGUAAUGUCUGGGAAACUGCCUGAUGGAGGGGGAUAACUACUGGAAACGGUAGCUAAUACCGCAUACCAUCGGAUGUGCCCAGAUGGGAUUAGCUAGUAGGUGUGGUAACGGCUCACCUAGGCGACGAUCCCUAGCUGGUCUGAGAGGCUGACCGGCCACACUGGAACUGAGACACGGUCCAGACUCCUACGGGAGGCAGCAGUAGGGAAUAUUGGGCAAUGGACGAAAGCCUGAUAGAGCCAUGCCGCGUGUAUGAAGAAGGCCUUCGGAUUGUAAAGUACUUUCAGCAGGGAGGCGUUACCCACAGAGAAAGCAACGGCUAACUCCGUGCCAGCAGCCGCGGUAAUAC
rnacentral:rRNA from 1 species